UGGGGAAUUUUGGACAAUGGGCGAAAGCCUGAUCCAGCAAUGCCGCGUGUGUGAAGAAGGCCUUCGGGUUGUAAACUGCUUUUGUACGGAACGAAAAAGCUCUCUCUAAUACAGGGGGUGAAUGACGGUACCGUAAGAAUAAGCACCGGCUAACUACGUGCCAGCAGCCGCGGUAAUACGUAGGGUGCACGCGUUAAUCGGAAUUACUGGGCGUAAAGCGUGCGCAGGCGGUUUUGUAAGACAGAGGUGAAAUCCCCGGGCUCAACCUGGGAACUGCCUUUGUGACUGCAAGGCUGGAGUGCGGCAGAGGGGGAUGGAAUUCCGCGUGUAGCAGUGAAAUGCGUAGAUAUGCGGAGGAACACCGAUGGCGAAGGCAAUCCCCUGGGCCUGCACUGACGCUCAUGCACGAAAGCGUGGGGAGCAAACA
rnacentral:rRNA from 1 species